UGGGUAACCUGCCCAUAAGACUGGGAUAACUCCGGGAAACCGGGGCUAAUACCGGAUAAYAUUUUGAACYGCAUGGUUCGAAAUUGAAAGGCGGCUUCGGCUGUCACUUAUGGAUGGACCCGCGUCGCAUUARCUAGUUGGUGAGGUAACGGCUCACCAAGGCAACGAUGCGUAGCCGACCUGAGAGGGUGAUCGGCCACACUGGGACUGAGACACGGCCCAGACUCCUACGGGAGGCAGCAGUAGGGAAUCUUCCGCAAUGGACGAAAGUCUGACGGAGCAACGCCGCGUGAGUGAUGA
rnacentral:rRNA from 1 species